GAGUUUGAUCCUGGCUCAGAUUGAACGCUGGCGGCAUGCCUUACACAUGCAAGUCGAACGGCAGCACGGGAGCUUGCUCCUGGUGGCGAGUGGCGAACGGGUGAGUAAUGCAUCGGAACGUAUCCUGGAGUGGGGGAUAACGUAGCGAAAGUUACGCUAAUACCGCAUAUUCUGUGAGCAGGAAAGCGGGGGACCUUCGGGCCUCGCGCUCUUGGAGCGGCCGAUGUCGGAUUAGCUAGUUGGUGAGGUAAAGGCUCACCAAGGCGACGAUCCGUAGCAGGUCUGAGAGGAUGAUCUGCCACACUGGAACUGAGACACGGUCCAGACUCCUACGGGAGGCAGCAGUGGG
rnacentral:rRNA from 1 species